AAAAUUCUGAAAACUAAAUUGUUCUUUUAUGUCAAAAUCCUACUUUAGAUACAGUUGGAAGUUCAUUAUCCAAGAUAUUGCAGAUUGGAAUUGUAACCCUGUCAUGUUGCCCUGUCACAUCUAGAAGGAACUGUUCAUUGCCAGAAAGAAAAGCGCCUUCUCCAGCACUCGUGGAUCCCAGUUAGUGGUGUUUACUGAAGUGAGAAAGGAUUUGCAGCUGUUUGGAGCCUGAGUGGCAGAUGAAACCAACUUGGAGACUUCCGGGGCACAAGUAUGAGUUGCAACCCAGAGGCUGUAGGGGGCACAGAUAGCACAUGGGCCACCUCCAUACUCGGAGAGCUGAGAUCUCAGGAUGGGCACACAUCCAGAGGUUUGUCUUUGGGAAAUUCAGGGAUCACCCACUGUACAUCCAGACGCUAGCCUGAAUGGAGAGGAGACGUGCCAUUGCCUUGGAGCAGGGCAGGCUGCAUGGAGAACAAGAAGGCUUCCUGCCUCCUCCAACUUUGGAUACACUGGAAAGCUGGUAAGGUGUGGAAAGUCAGAGUAGGCAUUCAGUGUGACCUGCGGAGCAACUAGACUUUGUAAAACAUGACGUUUCCUCAUGGAAAAACAACAGCCUUGUGGGUGAUUGGACAAACAUCCCCACAGAUGAGAAAUUAAAGCAGAGUAGAGUGGUCAAGGCCCUACCCUAAAUAAGCAAUUAAGGGGGCUAGAACACAGGUCCCACAGUCUCUAGGUCUGGGCCACCUAGGGCUCCACAUACGUAGACAGACACCACGCUGUAGCUUCUUCAGGCUAAGAGUUGUCUCGACCCCUGAUAGAGGUGGUGUCUGCUGCCAACAGAUUUGUCCCUGUGCUAGAGGUGGAAGUCUUACAGUUGAGUGAGGGAGCUCCACCUAAGAAAGUACAUUUUAAUGAGUUGCUAAUUCCUUCUUGUAACAUGGACUGCUUUGUGUGUAACGUAAUACGCUUCUGGAUUUUGGAAAUGAAUAGUCCAAGGGUCCCUUUGGAAUUGCUCCUGAGCAAUUCACUUCUCUGAUUUAGGCCUUUUAUCCUGCACAUGGCCUCUUACUGUUCUUACCACUACUUCAUCCUCCUAGCACCCACUCCCAGCUGGCCCUGACUAAGGAGAGACUAGGUAGGCAGUGGUUUGGAGUGUGGUCUGUGGAGACAGAGGGCCGGGACUCAAACCAUGGUUCUGCUGCUUAUUUGCUGCGUAACCUUGGGCCAGGGCCUUAACAGCAAUGC